rnacentral:tRNA from 1 species
UCCUCAGUAGCUCAAUUGGUAGAGCGCCCGGCUGUUAACCGGUAGGUUGCAGGUUCGAGUCCUGCCUGAGGAGCCA